AUUGAACGCUGGCGGCAUGCCUAACACAUGCAAGUCGAACGGCAACACAUUAAGCUCACGCUCUUCCCAGGGGCGAGUAGUGUAUGGGAGCGGAAUACAUCGUGAGCUAUAAUUUCGCGGAAGAUCAGGUAGGAACACAUACGCCAAUACCGUAAACGCGGUGGGUCGGAAAGCCUCGGACGUUUGGACCGUGCGAGAUUGGAUUAGCCGAUUUCUGAGUUGGUAGUUGGCCAGGUAAAGGCCCACCAAGUCGUCGAUCGGUAGCUGGUGUGAGAGGACGACCAGCCACACUGGAACUGAGACACGGUCCAGACUCCUACGGGAGGCAGCAGUGGGGAAUGUUGGACAAUGGGCGCAAGCCUGAUCCAGCCAUACCGCGUGCGUGAAGAAGGCCUUCGGGUUGUAAAGCGCUUUUGUCAGGGAAGAAAAGCUUCAGGCUAAUACCCCGCUCUUAUGACGGUACCUGAAGAAUAAGCACCGGCUAACUACGUG
rnacentral:rRNA from 1 species